GCCCAUCCUAUAAACUGAGACCCGCAGAGACAGGUUAAGAAGAGACUGACCGGGAGACAAGGAAAGUGAGUGUUGAGUACAGGUGGAAGGAGGUAUGGCACUGUGCUUCCAAGCCAGGGAGGUGGCCUCGUGCUGUGUGCCUGGGUGUGGGCCAGGCCUGCUCAGGCCUCCUGCCACCGUGGCCGUUGGAAACGUGUCUGUCUCCACACUGACUGUGGAUCUAUGCCCUUGAGGACAGACUUAUGCCGUCAGAAAACACUUGUUGACUUGAACAUGUGAACUUCGUUCUACAUCAAGAAGGAUUAAUGGGUGGGGCACAAACAGGAAACAGAUUAGUUUGGCUCAGACUUUUGUCUGGA
rnacentral:lncRNA from 1 species